GACAGAGGGGGCAAGCGUUGCUCGGAAUUACUGGGCGUAAAGGGCGCGUAGGCGGGAUGGCAAGUCGGUCGUGAAAUCCCUCGGCUCAACCGAGGAACGUCGAUCGAUACUGCUGUUCUUGAGGAUUGCAGAGGAGACUGGAAUUCCCGGUGUAGCGGUGAAAUGCGCAGAUAUCGGGAAGAACACCCGUGGCGAAGGCGGUUCUCUGGGACGGUACUGACGCUGAGACGCGAAAGCGUGGGGAGCGAACAGG
rnacentral:rRNA from 1 species